rnacentral:rRNA from 1 species
UGAGACUAUAAGUCUCCUGAAGGAACGUUGAAGACGACGACGUUGAUAGGCCGGGUGUGUAAGCGCAGCGAUGCGUUGAGCUAACCGGUACUAAUGAACCGUGAGGCUUAACCUU